GUUUCUGCUUCAGGAGCCUCUUCCCUCCAGGCCACCCCACAGCCCCCAGUGUCCCUCUGUCUGUGGGGUGUGGGGACAGUGUCCUCUGCCCAGAGUCCCCCUGCCCCUGGCCACCUCCAUCCUGACCUUGACCCCGUUCCCCCAAGGGACCCCCGACUUCAUCUCGGCUGCCCCAUCGUCCCCCUCUGCAGCCCCACGGUCUGGGCAGUGGGGAGGACCACCCAUCACACACACACCACCAUCCCUGCAUUGCUGCCCUUCCUGGAAGCCAGACCUGUGUUCCCUCUCCCACCACACUGUCCCCACGGUGGACACAACCGUCUCCCUGAGAACGAGGACUUCCUCUCACGCUCUGCUCCCUGGGGGCAGGGCUGGGGUUUCGCGUGGGCCUUUCUCUGCUCACCCUCUCGUUCCUGCAGCCAGAGACCGUGUCUUCCCCCGGAGAUGCCUCUUGUGACCCACUCGGGGCUUUGCACCCAACGCGUGCAGUGCCUGGAACAUACACCGGUCCUCUGAGGGCGUGCAGGGUGGCUCCAUCUUCCAGGGCCAUGCAGGGUGGCUCUGUCCUCCAGGGCCAUGUGGGGUGGCUCUGUCCUCCAGGGCUGUGCAGGGUGGCUCCAUCCUCCAGGGCCAUGCAGGGUGGCUCCGUCCUCUAGGGCCGUGCAGGGUGGCUCCGUCCUCCAGGGCUGUGCAGGGUGGCUCUGUCCUCCAGGGCCGCGCAGGAUGGCUCUGCCCUUCGAGGCUGUGCAGGGUGGCUCUGUCCUCCAGGGCCGUGCAGGCUGGCUCUGUCCUUCAAGGCCGUGCAGGGUAGCUCUGUCCUCCAGGGCCAUGCGGGGUGGCUCCAUCCUCCAGGGCCAUGCAGGGUGGCUCCGUCCUCCAGGGCCGUGCAGGGUGGCUCUGUCCUUCAAGGCCGUGCAGGGUAGCUCUGUCCUCCAGGGCCAUGCGGGGUGGCUCCAUCCUCCAGGGCCAUGCAGGGUGGCUCCGUCCUCCAGGGCCGUGCAGGGUGGCUCCGUCCAGCGGCCUCCUGUCGUAAGCUCCUGAACUGCUAUCCAGGAGGGUUCGCCCCACCCAGGCAUUCUGAUUUCCGUCGCUGUGAUGUGUUUGACUCUCAAAGCAGGUGGACACACAGGACAGCCUUGGAGUGACAAAGACGAGCUCUGGGGUGAAGUGUGUGGGUUCGAGUCCCUGCUCUGCCCCGUCCCAGCAGGUGGCCUCUGGGGCCCGAUUUCCCUCCUUUGUAAACUAAGGUCGCAGUUGCCACACGGGGCUGCUUCAAGAUCGGAAGCGCUGUCGUAUGCAGAGCGUGCCACAUGGCGGUGGGCACGCGGUAGCCACUCACGAGGGAGCGAGGUCAGCCGCAGGGGCCGAGCAGCCUCGACGUGGACCUUGCUUGUGUAGUCACUUGGAUUUGGCGUGGGAGCCAGCAUGGCCUGCACUGGUCCUUUCCAUGUGCUUCUGGGUAAACAGUGUUGAAUCAUAAAACGACAGAGCAGAGGGGAAGGGAGGAACGCCUCUUGGUUCAAAGAAACUCGCUUAAGUGAAGCCCAGGACUUUCUGAGACACUCGAAUCCUGAGAAGCAGCUGACAUCUACCAGGAAGACAACCUGAUCUUCGAAGGUUCUUCCCAAGACCUGUGCAGUUUUGGCCGAGGUGCCGGGAAGCAGGAGUAAUGAGUAAUGAACUGAGUAAUGAGCGAAUCCCAGAGGGACACCGUGGGGCCUCUGGCAUCUCUGCUCUGUGGCUCGCUGCCCUUCCGCCCUCCUGGUGUGUGGGGACGGGACAGGACCUUUGAGUCCGGUGACAGAUGGGAGGGGACUGAGACUUGGUGAGGCAGUGAUGGUCUCUCAAGCCCCCAGCGCCUCUGGGGGCAGGGGUGGGGGAAGGAGGGUGCAGGCACGUCCUUCCCAAACCUACCUCCGCCUCCCCUCCGGGUGGUCAGAGCCCAAGCCCUGGGACCAGCACUAAUGAUAAUAUCCCAAGAUGUCCUUGUGAGCACUGAUAAAGCACCAUAUGCUUAGUGGUCACGGAGCCUAGUGCUAAAAGUUAGGAAAUAAUGAGGGAGAGAGAGAGAUCAAGGAGAAGGGGGCAGGGAAGGGGGAGCUUUCAAGAAUCCCUUAGGAGGGGCGCCUGGGGGGUUCUGUCGAUGAAGCAUCGGACUUCAGCUCAGGCCACGAUCUCACAGUUCGUGAGUUCAAGCCCCACGUUGGGCUCUGUGCUGACAGCUCGGAGCCUGGAUCCUGCUUCGGAUUCUGUGUCUCCCUCUCCCUCUGCCCCUCCCCUGCUCACGCUCUGACUCUCUGUCUUUCAAUAAUAAAUAAGCAUUAAAAACAAAUUAAAAAAAAAAAGACAGUAGGGCGCUCCUCAGGGCACCUGGGUGGCUCAGUCAGUUAAGCGGCCGACUUCCGCUCAGGUCAUGAUCUCGCAGUUCGUGAGUUCAAGCCCCGCAUCGGGCUCUGUGCUAACAGCUCAGAGCCUGGAGCCUGCUUCUGAUUCUGUGUCUCCCUCUUUCUGCCUCUCCCUUGCUCGUGCUUUGCCUCUCUCUCUCUUUCUCUCUCUCUCUCUGUCUCUCUCUCUGUCUCUCUCUCUCUCUCAAAAAUAAACAUUAAAAAAUUUUUUUAAAUAAUAAAAAAAUAAAGAAUCCUAGCCUGCACAGGAUCUCGAUCUUCGCAGUAAGUUAACGCUACUUUCGAAAGGCUUAAAGUAGCCACAUCACUUGCCUCUGCCUUCCCACUGCCUCUGCGUGAGUUUCCCAUCCAGAUGGGGGGUCCGGACCGCCACACCCCCUGGGUCCCCAGAGGAGUGCUUUGCUUGCUGGUCCAGAAACGGAAGGAGCAGGAGCUUCGUGGGUCCCAAACACGGCGGGGGCUCGGGUGUGACUCCCAAUCCUCUGUCUGCAGCCUGCUUGCUGGGCCAGCACACCGGACGUGCCCCCGAGUAACGAGGGCCGUGGGGACUGCUGCCCCCCCGUCCUGCGUUGCUGUCUCUGACCGUAAAAGUCACCGCGGGUGACAGGCACUCUAGCUUCGGGUCUCCGAGCUGCCUUUGUAAGUGUGUGUGCAAGAAGAGUGACCCUUGUGCCAUUGGUGCGUGCACACACACACGUGCACCCCGGCACACAGGCCAGAUGCGUCCGCUCCACCUGCACACCUCAGCCCUGGCCACCCGUCGACCCCCGUCUUCCUCUGCAGGUGGCGAAGGUGUCUCUCACUUCCUGCCCACAACCCCCCCGGCCCCAGGCUCACUGCCUGAGAAGUGUGUUUGGGGGCGGAGGACAGGAAGAAGGGGGAAAGGCAGGAAUGAGAUCCCUUGCUGCCCCUACAGCACGCUGGCCCGCCAGGUGCCCCCGAGGAGGAACCCGCGAGCACUGCCCGUAGGGACCGGUGCCCGUCUGACGACAGCCAGCCUGCUCCUGCACCCCGGGGCUCAUCAGCCCCCGAGCCGCUCUUCCUGACCCUCCUGUGCCUUUGCUGAGUCACCUGUUGCUUGGAAUUCUGGCAGGGACCCCUCAGAGCUUCUGGAAGGGAGGGCCAGCAGGGGACCCACCCUCUGGGUGUCCCGGGGAAGAUUACUUUAUCUGUGGCCUUCUUGAAGCAGAGCCCGGGCUCCUGGAAUCUUUGGGGCUUGACACGGUGCCAGCCGCGGGGAAGGGAGGGAAUGGCCAAGAGUGUUUGCUGAGCCUGGCAGGGGACCGUGUCCGCACCUGGAGGAAGGCGACAGUGCUGAUUCUGUCCUCCUCAGCCCUUCCCCCUUUCUCGGCCGGCAGCAACAUCCCCUGCCGUCUCCCCGCUGCGUUCAAGGCCCUGCAGCAACCACCCUUGGGGACAAUCAGUGGCAGUUGUUUGCUUUACUCUGCAGAACCUCAUUUUGGUGCCGUGCUCUCCUCCCGCCUGGCAGCGAGGGUUCAGUAAGACCGUGUCAGCGGGAAAACCACAUGUGACACAUGUGUGCAGCCAGGUCCGCUGGAGCACAUGCCUGGACGGCUGAUGGACGCCCGGUGUCCCUGUCCUUGCCCGGACCUGGACGCGUCCACUGGCCAAGGAGACACCUGGGUGGCCACCACCGCCCGUUGGCACGGCUGCUUUGUAGAAUGUCCCUCCCUUCCUGUUUUGGCCUGUAUGAUACAAACAUCCCUCCCUGUGAGAUUCGGGAGGGGAAAGGACAUUCGCGUCAUCACUUCUGCCCAGGGCCCCACACUCGCUCAUCCCCCGGCUCGCGGCGGGACCCUCCUGGCGUGUCAGUAUUGGUGCACCUCCUCCUACCUCCUUCAGCCCUUCUUCCGGGCCCCAAGGUGACCCUUUCCUUCUCCCUUUGUAAGCCUGGGUCACACUCUCACACUGUGUUCUUAUCACCACCUCCCCACUUUCUCCCCUUCAUGAUUUCUCUAGAUUUGUUAUAGGGCUUGGAGGUGAAUUUCAGAGAAUUUCAUCUUGACCCUUGUGUAUACCCGCUGUCUUCAGGACAGGCAAAUCUUGGGGCGCCCGGGGGGCUCAGUCGGUUGAGCGUCCGACUCUUUGAUUUCAGCUCAGGUCAUGAUCUCAGGGGCGUAAGUUCCAGCCCUGUGUCGGGCUUUGCGCUGACAGUGUGAAGCCUGCUUGAGAUUCUCUCUCUCUCUCUCUCUCUCUCUCUCUCUCUCUCUCUCUCUCCCUCUCUCUGCACCUCCCUUACUUGUGUGCUCACUCGCUCGCUCUCUCUCAAAAUACAUAAACGUUUAAAAAAGAAGAAGCAAAUCUUAUUUUUACCAAAAAAAGUUACUUUUUCAUUAAAAAAAAAUGAAAAAGCAAGGAGGACAUAACUAUCCCUCAACUGUCCUUGAGUCUGGUGAGUGUUUCAUCCCCAGGUUGUGAUGAACUUUGUCCCAGAGGGUGGGUGAUGGGAGGCUGCGGGGUCACCAAAGCGGCGACUCUGACGGAGCAUCCCAUCAACAGAAUCGUGGCGCCUGAACCUGCCAUAUUCUCCCUUGGACCCUUCGGAAAGAAAGUCUUUGCUUCCUGUUUUCCCCUUUCUAAACUACAGGUCUGUGAGUCAGCUUUUCUUCUCUCCUACUUAGCUCACUGUGCGGCAUUACAAGUGUAUUCAGAAAACAUCAACCACAGUAGGAGAGGUCCCCGGCUGUGCCGUAUGCAGGGAGAGAGGGUCGGAAGCUGGCUUUUCCUCGGGUGGUCAGCUCUGUGUGCCGUCUGCUCCGGAAGGCAGCUCUGACAGCUGCAAUUUGAAGUAAAGCAAAGUGGACUUCAGCCCAUCGCAGUCAGGUCCCAAUAGAAGCAACCAGAAUUGUCCCACCACCUGGCAGUUCGCCUGAAACACGGUCAGAGUGCUUCCCAGACAGACGGGAGCACCCAGCAGGAGUAUUUGGGACAAAAGCCUGCGUAGACUCAAAAUUCCAAGGUGCCAAGAGCAGUUUCCCUGAGGACAUCUGUCCUGGUCAUGGCAGGUCCCACAAAGCGUUGGUUUUCCGCGUUGGCACCUGUCAGUGGGCCACGGCUGAUCCCAGAAGCCCCGAAUCUUUGUUGCCGAGAUACGCAUCUCUCUUUAUCUUUCCACCGAGAAAAAAAGCUACGGCCCACCAAGCGCCUGAGUCUUCACGUGAACCAGACAGAAUAGAUACGAUUAUUCCCACUUGGCGGGUGAGGAAACCGAGGCUCGGAGUUGGUCGCGUUGAGUGCUUGGUCCGCACAGCUGAUGGGAGGCAGGGCCGAGUGCCAGUCACGCCUCUGACCUGAAGCCCCCUGCACCGCACUGUCCAGGAGCCACACACACACCACCCCCCCCCCCCAUGAGUUGAUAGGACUCAGCACACAGCAGGAGCCCAGAGACGCAUCCAGAGCGAAAGCCAGUCUGUACGUGCUCAGUUAUGUGAACUGCAGGAGGGUCCAGCCUGGAACAAACCCCGGCAAGAGUGAUCUCCCCCGUUCCUAGCUUGCUCCCCGAUACACUAGGUGCCCCGGGAGCCUCACGCAUAACUGACCCAGGAAACACAGUGCUUUCUGCCACAUACUUGGCAGCUUCUCCCUGGAGGUGCGUGAACUUCUGAAAACGUUUACGUGAUCGGAUGGCUAUCUUCAGAAAGUAGUAGUAAAGUCUGUUGACUCAGCAGUCCCGUGAUGAGUACCUUGAACACUGUAGGCGAUGCGCAGGAGGAAGGGAAGAAAAUACUUGUAGCCUCUUAAUCUGAGCACAGAAGUUGGGCUCAGGGGCGCCUGGGCGGCUCGGGUCACGGGCUCGCAGUUUGUGGGUUCGAGCCCCGCGUCGGGCUCUGUGCUGACAGCUCGGAGCCCGGAGCCUGCUUUGGAUUCUGUGUCUCCCUCUUUAGUUAGGAGAUAAUUAUACGCACAGCUGAGUGAAGGUAUCUGCAAAUGAGGCGGGUUUGAUUUUCCUUGCGUGUUUCCAUCAGGUGCGUGCCUUUGAUGAUCUGAAUGGGAUGAUCGGCUGGGAGAGUCACUGUCACUGCUGACCGGUCCUGGAGGGACCUAGACCCAGGACUCGGGAUCUGGGCCUCACAGUACCGGUGCAGACCAGUGGAAGUUUGGGGAGUGGAUGUGAGCGGAGGAGGAGGAAGGCAGGCUUUAGCAUGACCGUCUCAGGGCAGCGGGCAAGAUCGACCAGAAGACGGGCCCGAAGGCAAGGACCACAGGAUGUAUACCCACCUCCGUGCCAGGCGGUGACAGGAAGUGCUGGCAGGAUGUGGCAAAGGCUGAGGCAGCCUUGGCUGGGUGGCGGUGCUGGGAAGGGACGUGACUGGAAAGCAGGAAGAGAAAAGCCUACAGAAGCUCGGGAGAAGUGGGCGGGAAAGUCAGGGUAGAGGUGAGACCCCCACAUGCGUUAGAACUUGGGGGAUCCAGAACCGAGCGCCGUGGGCAUAGGCGGGAUAGAAGAAGGCUAGCUGGGUCUGGAGAAAGACCUUGAGUUUGGAUUUGGGUAGCCGGGCGGUGACAGAGCCCAAGUGAGUUCCCACAGCCGGGAGCGUCUGGUACAUGUCUGCUGCCUUCUUUUACAAACAUUUUGUGUGCCCGUUGGUGCGUGGCAUAUGGCUGGGGCCAUGCAGGGGACAGGGCUGAGUGAGACACCCAUCACCUGAGCCCCAGCGCCCUCAAAGCCUGGAAAGAAUGUGGUUUGACUUCACACCAGCACCCGCCCCCGGCUCUCCAUCCAUGGGUCAGACUUUAAGCUUGUCUGCAGUUCAGCCCCCUCUUCCAUAAGGCUGGAGCAGUCAGGAGACAUCAGCUGGCACUCUCUCCUCCCCUGGUAGAACCUGGAGGGUUAAGAAACAAAUAUCCAUCCUGGGAAUGCAUAGGUAUGGACAAAUUUCAAGAGAAUCCAGAUUUGGUACCUGUUCAGGUUAACUAGUUCUCUAGCGGGAGCACAGCCGUGCUGUUUGCGCUCCAGUGAUGGUCACCCGGUCCUGCCCUUUGCCUCUCUUUACCGUCCCGAUCGGGGACCCUCUGGCUGGCACAGGGACAGGAAACGCUAAAUGUGUAAGCCUUGCAAAGGUCACUGCAAACCACACUGACACCAGUGAAUAGCACACUAAUGAUCCGACCGUGCCCAACAGGCUAAUGUGAUUGGAAGAAUACAUAUAAAAGUCAGACUCCGGCGUAUUUCUGAAUUCUAAAUACAAAUCUAAACGUGUUUACUCUCCCCAGAAAAUUGUCAGUGUCCUUUGGCUAGAAAGUAGAGCCGACUUCCUCCUCCUGUUUUGAAGAUCUCAGGUCUGUCUUAAUGUCUCCCUGAACUGACAACAUCAUGAGAAGUUUACGGGCACGACCCAACGCAAA